rnacentral:lncRNA from 1 species
UCGGUUGUCUCAAAUAACAGUGUACAUAAUACCUGUUUCAAGAAGCAAGUCUAAAAUGAAGUAAAUGUAACAACGAUGGUUUCGUGAGAAUGUUGUGUGACAGUCAACAACAAUCAACACUGUCAAAUAUCCAGCUCACCAUGAUUGUACAAAUCAUAUGGAACUCGACUGACUUCAUUAGUGAAAUAUACAACAGUAGAGCAAUAACACUGGUGUCCAAGCUUUCCCUCCUACA